rnacentral:RNase_P_RNA from 1 species
AGGAGAAGGCGGGCGGUUGCUGCCGCUGGUGGGAAACCGCCGCGGGAGAGGAAAGUCCGGGCUCCAUGAAGAGGGGAGGCCAGUUAACAGCUGGCGGAGCAAUCUAGGGAAAGUGCCACAGAAAAGAAACCGCCUUCUCUCGGGAAGGUAAGGGUGAAAAGGGGAGGUAAGAGCUCCCCGCGUCGGGGGCAAUCUCGGCGGCAGGGUAAACCCCCUCCGGAGCAAGAUCGAAUAGGGGUAGAAGGGCCUUGCGCCCCUGCAGCUCUUCGUGCAGCAUCUAUCCGGGUGGAUCGCUUGAGGCCUGUGGCGACGCAGGUCCUAGAGGAAUAACCGCCCCUGCGCAAGCAGGACAGAACCCGGCUUAUACCCUUCUCUUCGAG